rnacentral:rRNA from 1 species
UACGAAUAAGGAUCGGCUAACUCCGUGCCAGCAGCCGCGGUAAUACGGAGGAUCCGAGCGUUAUCCGGAUUUAUUGGGUUUAAAGGGAGCGUAGGCGGACUAUUAAGUCAGCUGUGAAAGUUUGCGGCUCAACCGUAAAAUUGCAGUUGAUACUGGUCGUCUUGAGUGCAGUAGAGGUAGGCGGAAUUCGUGGUGUAGCGGUGAAAUGCUUAGAUAUCACGAAGAACUCCGAUUGCGAAGGCAGCUUACUGGACUGUAACUGACGCUGAUGCUCGAAAGUGUGGGUAUCAAACAGGAUUAGAUACCCUGGUAGUCCACACAGUAAACGAUGAAUACUCGCUGUUUGCGAUAUACAGUAAGCGGCCAAGCGAAAGCAUUAAGUAUUCCACCUGGGGAGUACGCCGGCAACGGUGAAACUCAAAGGAAUUGACGGGGGCCCGCACAAGCGGAGGAACAUGUGGUUUAAUUCGAUGAUACGCGAGGAACCUUACCCGGGCUUAAAUUGCAUCUGAAUAAUUUGGAAACAGAUUAGCCGUAAGGCAGAUGUGAAGGUGCUGCAUGGUUGUCGUCAGCUCGUGCCGUGAGGUGUCGGCUUAAGUGCCAUAACGAGCGCAACCCUUAUCUUUAGUUACUAACAGGUCAUGCUGAGGACUCUAGAGAGACUGCCGUCGUAAGAUGUGAGGAAGGUGGGGAUGACGUCAAAUCAGCACGGCCCUUACGUCCGGGGCUACACACGUGUUACAAUGGGGGGUACAGAAGGCAGCUACCUGGUGACAGGAUGCUAAUCCCAAAAGCCUCUCUCAGUUCGGAUCGAAGUCUGCAACCCGACUUCGUGAAGCUGGAUUCGCUAGUAAUCGCGCAUCAGCCACGGCGCGGUGAAUACGUUCCCGGGCCUUGUACACACCGCCCGUCAAGCCAUGAAAGCCGGGGGUACCUGAA